CGAGGAAUUUUGCGCAAUGGGCGAAAGCCUGACGCAGCAACGCCGCGUGGGGGAAGAAGGCCUUCGGGUCGUAAACCCCUUUUGCGAGGGAAGAAGUAUGACGGUACCUCGCGAAUAAGCCACGGCUAACUACGUGCCAGCAGCCGCGGUAAUACGUAGGUGGCAAGCGUUGUCCGGAUUUAUUGGGCGUAAAGCGCGCGCAGGCGGUUGACUAAGUCUGGUGUGAAAUUUCCCGGCUUAACUGGGAAGGGUCAUUGGAUACUGGUCAGCUUGAGGAAGGUAGAGGAGAGUGGAAUUCCCGGUGUAGUGGUGGAAUGCGUAGAUAUCGGGAGGAACACCAGUGGCGAAAGCGGCUCUCUGGGCCUUUCCUGACGCUGAGGCGCGAAAGCGUGGGGAGCGAACCGG
rnacentral:rRNA from 1 species